rnacentral:rRNA from 1 species
AAUCUUGGACAAUGGGGGAAACUCUGAUCCAGCCAUCCCGCGUGUAUGAUGAAGGCUUNCGGGUUNUNAAGUACUUUUGGCAGAGNAAAAAAGGCAUCCCCUAAUACGGGAUGCUGCUGACGGUAUCUGCAGAAUAAGCACCUGCUAACUACGUGCCAGCAGCCGCGGUAAUACGGAGGGUGCAAGCGUUAAUCGGAAUUACUGGGCGUAAAGCGUGUGUAGGCGGUUCGGAAAGAAAGAUGUGAAAGCCCAGGGCUCAACCUUGGAACUGCAUUUUUAACUGCCGAGCUAGAGUAUGUCAGAGGGGGGUAGAAUUCCACGUGUAGCAGUGAGAUGCGUAGAUAUGUGGAGGAAUACCGAUGGCGAAGGCAGCCCCCUGGGAUAAUACUGACGCUCAGACACGAAAGCGUGGGGAGCAAACAGG